GCAUGUCUUCUUUGUAUCAUUCAGUCCUACAAGCCAUGUUUAAUACUGAUGGAUAGGAUAGUUAAUAGUCUAUAGAGAUGUUUUAUUUUCUGCCUUCAGAUGUUUCGAGUGUAGCUCACCUUGCAGCAGGUAUUCCAUCAUAUUGAUCGUUCCCCCGGUGACAGGCAUCACUGUAACAGGAGGAGCUUCCAUAUUUUCUCAGGCAAUGCGUGGUUACUGAAUCUGAAGGAGGAACAGGUUAUUAGCUAGCGUUGAAUCGGUGGUGUAGCUACAAGUAACGUUACCGUCUACAUUAGCUAGGGUUAGACUGUUAACUGAGUUGUCAAUUUCAAACGCUUAACUUUUGCUAAUGUAAUGUUAACCCUAUUUUAUACAGUUUAUGCUGUUAACUAAAUAUAGCGAACUCGCUAGUUAGCUAAUUACCUAAUGUAACGUAGCGAUAGUUAACAGCUAACGCUUCGUUUUUUUGUUAGUUUGCUUUAUUAACGUUACCGUUAACUUUACCUGAGAAACCCCGAACAACAAAAUGCAGCUAAUCACUUGUUGGGGAACGUAGGAUAAAUGUUGGUGUGGUCGUCUUCGGUAGAGCCUCCACGGUAAAGACCGAGGAUCCGGUUUCCUGAUGACAACUGAUGAAUAAACCACUGAAGUCUCCUCUUCCACCUGCAACACGACACAUUCCAUUACAUGAACAAAACAACACACACAUGCUUGUUCAUUGCAGCAUGGUAGAUAGUUUUAGGUUAUGACAUAAUCAUCACCACCAUAAUUAUAUAACACUUACCCUGCUAUUCAAGCCCCAGCAACAAGGGUGAACAGGAAACGCUUUGAAGAGAUAGAAACAGAAUCAGGGGGGGCAUACUUGUCUAGCCCAUUGUCAAACAUCUACUUCUCUUUCAAUGCAGCAUACCAAUAUACAAACAAUAAACAGGAAGUUCAGUAAGACAAAGAGCUGCAUGCCCUACCUGCCCACAAUCUUUGUCUGAGGUGGCAAAUUAAAAGUGCCAUUAAAAUAAGACAUGUAAGGGCUGCCGAUGUUCCAUAAACAACUGGAAUCAGAUAUUCAAGCUCUGUGGGUAUAUCUGUAAAACCAAAAAACGUAAGAAUUGAAAUUCGGGCUAUGACCUCCUUAAAGAGAGAUACAGCAAAACACCCACCUGUUGUUAUGUUUAAAGCAUUUGAUGGUCCAUGAGUGCUGUUAACUGAACUGCAUCCAUCAGACAUCUGCUUUGCACUGCAAUUUAUUCCAUUUGUAUCUACAAGCAUUGUCCUUGUGCCUGUCUCCAAAUAAAGUGUGCUGUUUGGUUUGAUGUUACUGAAUUCCAUGUCACACAUCACAGUACAAGAAACAAAGGAAUCAUCACCGUGGUGUACUGUAAUAAAGCAAAAAAAAUAUUCUAAGUUAAAGCAUUCAAUUUUGACAAAAGA